rnacentral:rRNA from 1 species
UACGGGGGGGGCAAGCGUUGUUCGGAAUUACUGGGCGUAAAGGGCUCGUAGGUGGCCAACUAAGUCAGACGUGAAAUCCCUCGGCUUAACCGGGGAACUGCGUCUGAUACUGGAUGGCUUGAGUUUGGGAGAGGGAUGCGGAAUUCCAGGUGUAGCGGUGAAAUGCGUAGAUAUCAGGAAGAACACCCGUGGCGAAGGCGGCUCUCUGGAACGCAACUGACGCUGAGACGCGAAAGCGUGGGGAGCAAACAGG